UUAAAGUUUUAUCCUGGCUUGUUCUUUCAUUUUCAGAUUAAUAAUACAUGUAAAAUAUUUUUAGUCAAUGUAGACAUUUUUAAGAUUUAAUAUCUUAUAAUUUAAGUCUAUUUAAAGUAGUUAAUAAAAUAUAAAUUCGCAGUAUUAAAAACUAAUAAUAAGUGGAAGCUAGAAUUGGUGAUUCUGAUUGUUAUAUCUGGUUAAAUUUGUGCCAGCAGCCGCGGUUAUACUGGGAGAUAAAGUGAAAGAUGUUUGGUUAAAAAUACUUAAGCGUUUAAUUAAAUAAAAAAGAUUUGUGUUGAUAAAGGGUGAAAUCAAUUUUUCAUUAAAUAAAUGUUUUUAAAAUAAUAUAAGCCGAAGUUGUUAAAUUUAAGAAAUGAACCAGGAUUAGAGACCCUGUUACACUUUAUUGAAAAUGGAAAUACCUAGGUAGUAAGCAGUUAUAAUCUUGAAACUUAAAGGAUUUGGCGGUAACUUAGUCUAGUUAGAGGAACCUGUCCUAUAAUCGAUAAACCACGAAAAAUCUUACUUUGCUUUGAAAUUCCAGUUUAUAUACCGUCAUUAUUAGAUAACUUUCAAAAAAUAUAAGUUGUUAAAAUAGUUUAAAACUAAAAUAUUAGAUCAAGGUGUAGCUAAUAGUAAAGAAGAGAUGGGUUACAUUAAUAACUAGUUUAUUAAACGAAUCUAAAAAGGAACCUUUUUAGUGAAGGUGGAUUUAAAUGUAAAAAUGUUUUAAUAAGGCAUUUUGAUUUUAGCUCUAGGUUAUGUACACAUCGCCCGUCGCUCUCGUUAAAUAAAGCGAGAUAAGUCGUAACAUAGUAGGUGUACCGGAAGGUGUACCUAGAAUUUU
rnacentral:ncRNA from 1 species